GGAUCUCGGCAAUGGAUAUCUGGGCUCUGGCAUCGAUGAAGAACGUAGCGAAAUGCGAUACUUGGUGUGAAUUGUAGAAUCCCACGAGCCAUCGAGUCUUUCAACGCAAGCUGCGCCCGAAGCCAUUAGGUUGAGGGCACGUCAGCCUGGGCGUCU